UACAGGGGGUGCAAGCGUUGUUCGGAAUUAUUGGGCGUAAAGCGCGUGUAGGCGGACCACUAAGUCUGGUGUGAAAUCCCUCGGCUCAACUGAGGACGUGCAUUGGAUACUGGAGGUCUUGAGUCCUGGAGAGGGUAGCGGAAUUCCCAGUGUAGAGGUGAAAUUCGUAGAUAUUGGGAGGAACACCGGUGGCGAAGGCGGCUACCUGGACAGUGACUGACGCUGAGACGCGAAAGCAUGGGGAGCGAACAGG
rnacentral:rRNA from 1 species